GGCUGUGUGGCAUAGUGGUUUGAGUGUUGACUGUGACUCUGAAGGCCAGGGUGCAAUUCCCUGCUUGGCCA